AUUGGCACUUUCUCUUGGACAAGAUAAAAGGGACAAGAAGCAAGAGAGGAAAGGGGAAGGAUGGGCAAAAGAAAAGAAAAGCAACGGAUCUAAUAAAAAAGGAACACGAGGGAGAAAAAAAAAAAAAACGCAGAAAUUUCCUCUGCAAAACCCACAACAAGGUUGACGUUUCAGCCUACUUUCCUCCAGAAUCGUUGCUGCCACACACCUGGUUCAACUGGCAACCUCGCUCAAAGCUGCUUCCACCUGGUUUUUGCUCACACAAAUCCAGUCCAGAAGCGUUUCCAGUUAAAUAGGUAAAAUCAAACCCAAUUAGCUACUACUUCAAGUGAGGGCGUGACGGUGACUCGAGACGCUCGUCGGGUGAAAAUUUGUGAAACUUCCUUUGUUUGAUUGGUGGUUGGUGUAAAACGUGCUUUCACGAGACAAAAUUUCAGAAGAUUCUCUAUUUCAUGACAUGACCACGCCAGAGAACAGAAGAGGUACAUCAAAAGGACGGACCCGUGGGAUUAACGUGAGGAAACCAAAGGUGGUCCACAUGAACCAGGCGCAUGGGAUCGGACCCCCUGAGACAAGGCCUUAACUUUUUUGUGAAUGUCUCCUGCGGCGGCUACGGAAGAUAUAAGAGGAAGCCAGAGUCACGUCAAAAGGACACAUUAUCUUUUGUUUUCUUUUUUCCUUUUUUGUCAGACGCUUUUGGUCCUUUCUCUUUAGCCGCAAUUAGAAAAAAAAAAAAAAGAGGUGAGAUUGACGUCUAAUCAAUUAGCUAAGCUUCAAUUCCCCUUUGCCCAUCGGUCAGAAGAGGAAGAUUCCUCCAUUGCUUUUUGGGCUUUGUAUGAACGAGACUCUUUUCGCUCGACUUUGGCUCUGAACAAUUUUCAUUAGUUUUUGUUCUUGCA